GCACUGAGCUCAUCCCGCAGCCUGCCGGGGAAACCUGUCCGUAGCUCCUCCGACUGCUCGGAUCCGCGCUCGAGCUGCCCUGACCUGCUGAGCCCCAUCCCUGGACAGGGACAGUGCCUCUGCUGUGGUUGGACCAUGAGGGACAGAGCGAGGCACUGAGGGUCACCAGCCAGGAACACUGCUACCCACGUUAACAGGAUCGCUUGCAGAAGGCCCCAGAAGAUGUAGAGCGGGCGGCGAGCGGCGAGCAGCGGGGCCGGGCCGCCCUCACCAUGGCCAAGAGGGGCUCCGGCAGCCGCGCCAGGGGGGACAAGCCCGACGCCUUGGCCGCCCUGCAGGCUGCCAACGAGGAGCUCCGGGCCAAGCUCACCGACAUCCAGAUCGAGCUGCAGCAGGAGAAGAGCAAGGUCAGCAAGUUGGAAAGGGAGAAAAACCAGGAAGUGAAGCAGAUCAAGGAGCACGAACAGCAUAAAAGCACAGUGGUGGUCACAGAGCUCAAAGUCAAACUCCACGAAGACAAAAUGAAAGAGCUCCAAGCUGUUCGAGAAACUCUUCUGAGGCAGCACGAAGCUGAGCUGCUCAGAGUAAUAAAAAUUAAAGACAAUGAAAUCCAGAGACUCCAGACCCUGCUCAACGCCGUGCGUGACGGGGCCCCGGACAAGGUGAAAACCGUGCUGCUCACCGAGGCCAAGGAGGAGGCCAAGAAGGGCUUCGAGGUGGAGAAAAUCAAAAUGCAGCAAGAAAUUUCCGAGCUGAAGGGGGCCAAGAAGCAGGUGGAGGAGGCUCUCACGAUGGUGAUCCAAGCUGACAAAAUGAAAGCAGCGGAGAUCAGGAGUGUGUAUCACCUGCACCAGGAGGAGAUCACCCGCAUCAAGAGGGAGUGCGAGAGGGAAAUCCGCAGGCUGAUGGAGGAGAUUAAGUUUAAGGACAGAGCAGUCUUCGUGCUGGAGAGAGAGUUAGGGGUGCGAGCCGGGCAUGCUCAGAGACUGCAGCUCCAAAAGGAGGCUUUAGAUGAACAACUGUCCCAGCUCAAAGAGUCUGACCGGCAUCUGAGCAGCCCCAAGCGGGAACUUCCUUAUGCAAGUGGUGCAGGAGACGCUUCAGAUCAUUCGGGAAGCCCCGAACAGCAGUUGGAUGAAAAGGACGCCCGGCGCUUCCAGCUGAAAAUCGCGGAGCUGAGCGGGAUCAUCCGCAAGCUGGAGGACAGGAACGCGCUGCUGUCGGAGGAGAGGAACGAGCUGUUGAAACGUCUCAGAGAAGCAGAAAGUCAGUAUAAGCCCAUUCUGGACAAAAACAAACGCCUCAGUAGGAAGAAUGAGGAGUUGUCACAUGCCUUACGUCGAAUGGAAAAUAAAUUGAAAUUUGUGACGCAGGAAAAUAUUGCCAUGAGGCAAAGAACUGGAGCAAUAAGGAGACCAAGCUCCCUAAAUGACCUUGACCACAGCCAGGAAGAAAGGGAAGUGGAUUUCCUGAGACUACAAGUUAUUGAGCAGCAAAACAUCAUUGAUGAGCUCUCCAAGACCCUGGAGACUGCUGGCUAUGUGAAGAGUGUCAUGGAACGUGAUAAGCUGCUACGGUUCAGGAAGCAAAGGAAAAAAAUGACAAGAAUUCCUAAGAAGCCGGUGGUGGAGACGUUCUAUGGCUACGACGAGGAGGCUUCCCUGGAGUCCGACGGUUCCUCCAUCUCCUACCAGACCGACCGGACUGACCAGACCCCCUGCACGCCCGAGGACGACCUGGAAGAGGGCAUGGCCAAGGAGGAGACGGAGCUGCGGUUCCGGCAGCUGACCAUGGAGUACCAGGCCCUGCAGCGCGCCUACGCCCUGCUGCAGGAGCAGGUCGGGGGCACCCUGGAUGCAGAACGAGAGGUCAAGACACGUGAGCAGCUCCAAGCAGAAAUACACCGGUCCCAGGCUCAGAUAGAAGACCUGGAGAAGGCUCUGGCUGAGCAGGGACAGGACAUGAAGUGGAUUGAGGAGAAGCAGGCGUUGUACAGGAGGAAUCAGGAGCUGGUAGAAAAGAUCAGGCAGAUGGAGGCCGAGGAGGCGCGCCUCAAACACGACGUGCAGGACGUGAAGGACCAGAACGAGCUGCUGGAGUUCAGGAUCCUGGAGCUGGAGGAGAGGGAGAGACGGUCCCCGGCCAUCACCUUCCACCACGGCCCCUUCACGGAGGGGAAGAGCCCUCUGCAGGUGUACUGCGAGGCUGAAGGUGUAACAGACAUUGUAGUAGCAGAGCUGAUGAAAAAGUUGGACAUUUUAGGGGAUAACGCCGUAAGUAAUCUGACCAACGAGGAGCAGGUGGUCAUCAUCCAGGCCAGGACUGUCCUGACGCUGGCAGAGAAGUGGCUCCAGCAGAUCGAGGUGACCGAGUCCGCGCUGCAGCAGAAGAUGCUGGACCUGGAGAACGAGAAGGAGCUGUUCAGCAAGCAGAAGGGCUACCUGGACGAUGAGCUGGACUUCAGGAAACAGUCCCUGGACCAGGCUCACAAGCAAAUUCUGGAAUUAGAAGCCAUGCUCUAUGAUGCCCUGCAGCAAGAAGCUGGAGCCAAAAUUUCCGAACUUCUUUCAGAAGAGGAGAAGGAGAAGCUGAAGAGCGCCGUGGAGCAAUGGAAGCGGCAGGUGAUGAGUGAGCUCCGGGAGAGGGACGCCCAAAUCCUGCGGGAAAGGAUGGAGCUCAUCCAGCACGCCCAGCAGAGAAUUAAAGAGCUAGAAGAAAGAAUUGAAGGCCAAAAAAGACAAAUAAAAGAGUUAGAGGAAAAGCCCCCUGAGGCCACUGCAGCUGCCCCUGCUGUCCUUCCCGGAGGGACAGCCCUGCUUCCCCAGGCCCACGCAGAGACUUUGCCCUGGCCACCCCCAGAUCUGUGCCGCUCCUUGCUGCUGCUGGCCAUGGGAGGUGCCGUCUGUGGGACUUGCAGCAGGGCUGAGCCAGGCUGGGAGGGAGUCCCUGCACCCCUGAGAGCCCCGAGGAGCCUUUGGAGAGGACAGAACUGAGCCGGCAAAGACAGGCAGAACCUCUGCUCGUGCCCCUCGUGCAGCCCCGGGCUCUGCCAGCAGCAGCCUCACUGAUUCAGAUACUCUGGAUUGAUCCCGGUUCCCUGCCGAGCAGGUGGCAAAUUGCUUCUGUGCAGAAGUGCCCGUGUCCUGUCUGUCUGCCACACGGUCAUGUUUGUUCCACAGUUCUUCAAAAAUCUGUCUCGAAAGGAGAAUUUAGGAAGCGUUCCAGAGGAGCAGCUCAUGAAAAGAUGCAUGUACCUGCGCCGCUGGAGUUUAUAAAGCUGUGGAGAAAACCCCUUGAUACUGAAAUUCUUCAGCCUCUUCCUGCACUUGUACAUCGACCACGUUUUAACCCAGCGCAGGGAGCUCGGCUGCAGAAACAGAAAGAAGGGACUUGGUCAGAGAAGUGCGGUAUUUGAACCAAAGGGAUGCGAUGUUUUAAGGCCAAGGUUGUGGAUUUCGAUAUCAGCGUGUGAUUCAGCGUGUGAUGGAAUUGAUUUAACAAGCUCUGAUUCUACCAGUUCCAGUGCUGGGAUUCUGGGAUGAGCUGCAUUUUUGCUUCUGCAUUUCACGCCUGAAACGGGUUCAUUUUGAGUUCUACUGAAAUACUUCAUGUCUUAAAAUACUGUAUUCCCUGGAAGCCUGCAGAUGGUGGUUGAGGUGACAAAGGGCACAUUGGGAAGUGGCUUGAGUCCUUCUCAUGGCUCUGCAUUCAGGACGUGCUCUUGCCUGGUGUGUUCGUGUGUCUCAAACACCGGUUCUGUUUUCCAAUUAGCGUCCUUGAUCCUGGGGGUUUUAAGUACAAAGCCAAUUGUACAGGACAGGUCCGUGUGUAAAUAAGGGAUUGUGCUUAUCUAUAUGUCACUAUAAAUAUGUAUGAAGUUUUGUACAUAGGAAAGAAACAAAUGGCUCAAAGAAUGUUUUCAGAACUGUGUCCUCCGUUUAAAUGCACAGACAAGAGAUUGCCACCCAUGUGCUCCCUCCCUGUCCGGGAAGGGAUCCUGCUGGUUCUGCUUGCUGCCCACGUCCCAGGGCUGGGCUCUGUGAGGAGUUUGUUCCUGGCCCGGAGCAGGGCUGGGCUCUGUGAGGAGUUUUUUUGGUAGCCCGGGGCCGGGCUGGGCUCUGUGAGGAGUUUGUUCCUGGCCCGGAGCAGGGCUGAGCCGUGUCGGCUCUCGGCUGCUCCCUCCUCACUCUGGCCCCUGUGCAGCUCUGACAAACGCCGCUCCAAGCCCCGGGACCGCGGCGGGGCCGUGCCGCGGCCGGGGGCAGCAGCCGGAGCGGGGGGGGGGGCACGGGCCACCCCUCGCCCCAAACCCACCGCCCUGUGUGCGUCAGGCGUGGACUUCUUGUUCCAGCUGCUGGAGGAUGUGGCUGUUAUUUCCAGUAUUCUGCUCUAUUUCUGUAGCCUUCAGUGAUUCCUUGAGUGCCUUACAUGGCUUGUGGACAGAAUUCCUGACCAGGAGUUGAAAAUGCCCCUGGACCGACGCCGGCUCCUUCGCAGCCCUGUGCCCCUCGGCCGUCGCCGGCAGCGUGCACAGGGAGAGAUUUAGCUUCGACUCAGGAAAUCGCCGUGUGAAUAUGUGUAUUAAACCCUGUAUGAUGUGCUGUACAGUUUAUAAAAAGGGACUAUUGUAAACUUAUGCAAAACGUAACGCAGAGAAAAUGGAGGUUUUUGGUCCGCUGGCUGGCGUGCCGUGACCCGCGUCCUCUAAUCCUACUCCAGAAUCAUAUCCAAAAUACAGAGCGUUGGGUUCAGUGCUGUGACAGCAACCUCCAGCCCGAAAACAGGGACUGGAGCGAUCGACUAGAGAAUUUUACAGAUAUUUUUGUAUUGUGAUUCCUAUGAUAUAUAUCGAGAGACUUUCUAUUCCUUUGUAAAAUACAUAAAUUAUUGUCAACUUUUAAUUAAAAAGACCUGUUUUAAACCUUCAAA